UUACAUGAUUUGGGUAAUAUUGUUAUUAUUAGUGUUAUUGUUAUUGUGACUUCAAUAUGGUGUGGGUGGUGCAACUCUUGAUGGACCAGAGAUUUACUUAUAUCUUACUUUGUGGACAAUUUCAUCAAAGCUCUAGCAACACUAUUGAGCUCGACAAAAGCUAGCGGAAAAAUACCAAUCCUGUCAAGAAGUUUACCU